GUUUCAGCCCCUCACAGAGCACGGGAUGACUUCUACUAGGGGAGCAGAGAAGAUGAUGCACGCCAUCCUUGCACAGUAGCCUGGUGAGAAGGGACCACCUUUCUACAAGGCGGAGAGGGAUUUGUCUCAGCGGGAGGAGAGGAGAUGAGGACUGCACGUGGAUGACGCCAACCAUGCGGCUCUCACAGGAAAAGAGCAAAGGUUUUCCCACUUGGCUAAGUCUGACUACAACUUCUAUGACCAGCUUUAAGGAUGGCAUCACUGGUCAGGAAGGUGAUGGACCAUCCCACCUCCCAAGUAGGUGCAUCUUUGUCAUUGGAGGCAUCACUGCGUCAGGUCCCCAAAGGGGAAGGCUGAGGCCUCUAUGGACAACUGGGG